rnacentral:rRNA from 1 species
UACGUAGGGUGCGAGCGUUGUCCGGAAUUAUUGGGCGUAAAGAGCUCGUAGGCGGUUUGUUGCGUCGGCCGUGAAAACCUGCAGCUUAACUGUGGGCCUGCGGCCGAUACGGGCAGACUUGAGUUCGGUAGGGGAGACUGGAAUUCCUGGUGUAGCGGUGAAAUGCGCAGAUAUCAGGAGGAACACCGGUGGCGAAGGCGGGUCUCUGGGCCGAUACUGACGCUGAGGAGCGAAAGCUAGGGGAGCGAACAGG